UACGUAGGGACCAAGCGUUGUUCGGAUUUACUGGGCGUAAAGGGCGCGUAGGCGGCUUGACAAGUCACUUGUGAAAUCUCCGGGCUUAACUCGGAACGGCCAAGUGAAACUGUCAUGCUAGAGUGCAGAAGGGGCAAUCGGAAUUCUUGGUGUAGCGGUGAAAUGCGUAGAUAUCAAGAGGAACACCUGAGGUGAAGACGGGUUGCUGGGCUGAAACUGACGCUGAGGCGCGAAAGCCAGGGGAGCAAACGGG
rnacentral:rRNA from 1 species